UUCGCCCUUCGGUUGAUCCUGCCGGACCCGACUGCUAUCAGAGUAGGACUAAGCCAUGCGAGUUAACGUAGCAAUACGUGGCAUACGGCUCAGUAACACGUAGUCAACAUGCCCAGGGGACGUGGAUAACCUCGGGAAACUGAGGAUAAACCGCGAUAGGUCAUGAUUUCUGGAAUGAUUCAUGGCCCAAAUCUAUAUGGCCCCUGGAUUGGACUGCGGCCGAUCAGGCUGUUGGUGAGGUAAUGGCCCACCAAACCUGUUACCGGUACGGGCUCUGAGAGGAGGAGCCCGGAGAUGGGCACUGAGACAAGGGCCCAGGCCCUAUGGGGCGCAGCAGGCGCGAAACCUCUGCAAUAGGCGAAAGCCUGACAGGGUUACUCUGAGUGGUUUCCGCUAAGGGAACCUUUUGGCACCUCUACAAAUGGUGCAGAAUAAGGGGUGGGCAAGUCUGGUGUCAGCCGCCGCGGUAAUACCAGCACCCCGAGUGGUCGGGACGAUUAUUGGGCCUAAAGCAUCCGUAGCCGGUCCUGCAAGUCUUCCGUUAAAUCCAGCUGCUCAACAGAUGGGCUGCGGGGGAUACUACAGGGCUAGGAGGCGGGAGAGGGCAGCGGUACUUUAUGGGUAGGGGUAAAAUCCGUUGAUCC
rnacentral:rRNA from 1 species